UUAGAUUGAAUGGUUCAUGAGUAAAUGCAACAACGUGAAUGGAAACGCCAUUUCACAAUCUUUCAAGAACCAUAACUCCUGAACUGUAAAAGUCAAAAUCGUCAUUAUUGAACUUGACCUCCAUUUUGUCAUCAGUAACAACAUAUUAAAAUUUGGGAAGCUUAGGUAGAACAGUGCAUGAGUAAAUGCACGGACACGACUGGAAACUCCAUUUUUCAAUCUUUCAAGAACCAUGACUCCUGAACGGUAAAAGUCAAAAUCGCCAUUAUUGAACUUGACCUUCAUUUAGUUGUUAGUAACAACAUAUUAAAAUUUUAAAAGCUUUGGUUGAACGGUUCAUGAGUUAAUGCACGGACAACAUUUGAUUGCUGCCCGCCCGCCCGCCCGCCAGCCCGCCCGCC
rnacentral:lncRNA from 1 species